UAGAGUUUGCAGGAGGACAGUAGGAAUCUGGAACUUUAUACAGAGCUAAUGAACUUAAAAAAACUAAGGAAGCGUCAUCAGCUUUGGCUACACCAGAUAGAGGCAGCUGUCCAGUAGAGAGAGUGUGGGAGAGGAAAGCAUUAAUAACACGAAAACUAACGAGGAUGAUGAUUGCUCACCAAAUUGGUCUAAACGAUUAAGAGGGAAACGUAACAGUGAACGGGAAAGUGAAGAGGCCGGGAACAAACAAGAGAAGUAUAACACGAAGGAAGAAACAGGAGAGAACCAGGAAAAAUGAUGGCAGUCAGUUAGAUGAAAAACAGAAAGAUACAAAUGAGGAAUCAUCCCCAUUGAUUAUUGGAUCAUCGCCUUCAACACAGAUUCGGAAGAUGGAAGAGAAACAAUAUUUCCAUCCUCUGGAGGAACAUCGUCAUUGGUGUCCAUGGGUGAAGAAGAUUGAUGAUGACUCGAGUAAUGAAGAAAGCAGUCAAAUAGAUGACAAAAGAGGUUACCACAUUGUUGUUGCCAAAGUCAGAACACUAGUUAAUUUAUCUCUUAGAAAAGACUUGUACUCAUCUGAAAAAUAUGCAAAAAAUGUCCAGGGUCUGCGAUCCAUUCGCAACAUGCUGAAUGAAUUAUCGUCAGGUGACCAGUUAGAGGACGUAGGAGAGAAGUGAAAUUAUUUUUGGUUCCAUUUUAUUCUCUAUUGUUCAAAAAUUUGUUUAUUUUUAAGGAUAAUGGUGAUUUUCAUCAAUGACUAACAUUUAUUAUUUUUAUUUGAUGUAAUAAAACUAGAAGUUAA